rnacentral:rRNA from 1 species
ACAUACUUAUUGUUGCUUCGGCGGGAUCGCCCCGGCGCCCUCGGGCCAGGACCCCAGGCGCCUGCCGGAGCACCCACACUCUUGUCUUCAUGAGCAUCCUUCUGAGUGACACAAGCAAAUAGAUUAAAACUUUCAACAACGGAUCUCUUGGUUCUGGCAUCGAUGAAGAACGCAGCGAAAUGCGAUAAGUAAUGUGAAUUGCAGAAUUCCGUGAAUCAUCGAAUCUUUGAACGCACAUUGGGGCCCGGCCCAGUAUUGUGGCGGGCAUGCCUGUUCGAGCGUCAUUUCAACCCUCAGCCCCGGCUGGUGUGGGAUCGGCGCCUCGGCGCGCGGCCGAAAUCUAGUGGCGUCUCGCUGUAGCUCUCUGCGUAGUACACACUCGCACCGGACGCAGCUGGCCAGCGUAACCCCCAUUUGAGGUGACUCGAUCGGUAGA